rnacentral:rRNA from 1 species
AGUACAGACGAGUUUGAUCCUGGCUCAGAACGACGCUGGCGGCAUGCCUAACACAUGCAAGUCGAACGAAUGGUUUCGGCCAUUAGUGGCGCACGGGUGAGUAACGCGUGGGAAUCUGCCCAGCAGUGGGGGAUAACCUCUGGAAACGGAGGCUAAUACCGCAUACGCCCCUCGGGGGAAAGGCUUGCUGCUGCUGGAGGAGCCCGCGUCGGAUUAGGUAGUUGGUGGGGUAACGGCCUACCAAGCCUGUGAUCCGUAGCUGGUCUGAGAGGAUGAUCAGCCACACUGGGACUGAGACACGGCCCAGACUCCUACGGGAGGCAGCAGUGGGGAAUAUUGGACAAUGGGCGCAAGCCUGAUCCAGCAAUGCCGCGUGAGUGAUGAAGGCCUUCGGGUUGUAAAGCUCUUUCGCCCACGACGAUGAUGACGGUAGUGGGAGAAGAAGCCCCGGCUAACUUCGUG